GCAAGUUGUGCGAGAAAGUUUCUUCGGAAACGAGUAGAGCGGCGAACGGGUGAGUAACACGUAAAUAACCUGCCCUUAAGUUUGGGACAACCAUGCUAACGCGUGGCUAAUACCGGAUGUGAAUCAACUUUCUCCUGAUUGUUGAUUUAAAGGUCCUUCGGGAUUGCUUAAGGAUGGAUUUGCGCACUAUUAGUUAGUUGGUAAGGUAAUGGCUUACCAAGACGAUGAUAGUUAGCCGACCUGAGAGGGUGAUC
rnacentral:rRNA from 1 species